GCAGAAACUACACACCUGGUCCUCUCUAGCCCAGGAGCCUCACAAGCUGCCUCUCUGUGUGCUUCUAUUCCAGCCAGAGCCAGGGAGCUCUGGACACCGUAGGCAGACAGAGCGGAGGUUCAGGCUUCAUCCCCAAAGCCACAGUCACCUCACUCAUAACCUCUGCCUCCUCUGCCAUCAGGACGUCCACCUGCGCGCUGGCUCACCUGCACUCUCCUUAUAAGGGCCUUCAGAUGAGAUGGACACACCCGGGCAAUCCCAGAAUAGCAUCCCUUCCAUCUGUAACCACAGUUCCUCAGCCACUUGAGGCGGCAUGGUUUGGAAGAAGCCACUCCUGUUGCCCUGCCCUCUCUACCAUGAAGGACUGUACCCUCUUCAAACAGUAAGCCAAAACAAGCCUUUCUCGCUGAGGUUGCUCCUGCCAGGCGAUUCACCAGUUGAUUGACAGUUGGUCUGUCGUGCCUCCUGCCCCUGGGGGAUCCCCAGUACCCAGAACACUGCAGACUCUCUAUAAAGACACUGA